rnacentral:rRNA from 1 species
AGUGAACGCUGGCGGUAGGCCUAACACAUGCAAGUCGAACGGCAGCACAGAGGAGCUUGCUCCUUGGGUGGCGAGUGGCGGACGGGUGAGGAAUACAUCGGAAUCUACUCUGUCGUGGGGGAUAACGUAGGGAAACUUACGCUAAUACCGCAUACGACCUACGGGUGAAAGCAGGGGACCUUCUGGCCUUGCGCGAUUGAAUGAGCCGAUUUCGGAUUAGCGAGUUGGCGGGGUAAAGGCCCACCAAGGCGACGAUCCGUAGCUGUUCUGAGAGGAUGAUCAGCCACACUGGAACUGAGACACGGUCCAGACUCCUACGGGAGGCAGCAGUGGGGAAUAUUGGACAAUGGGCGCAAGCCUGAUCCAGCCAUACCGCGUGGGUGAAGAAGGCCUUCGGGUUGUAAAGCCCUUUUGUUGGGAAAGAAAUCCAGCUGGCUAAUACCCGGUUGGGAUGACGGUACCCAAAGAAUAAGCACCGGCUAACUUCGUGCCAGCCGCCGCGGUAA